rnacentral:rRNA from 1 species
AUUGAACGCUGGCGGCAGGCUUAACACAUGCAAGUCGAGCGGAGUGAUGGUGCUUGCACUAUCACUUAGCGGCGGACGGGUGAGUAAUGCUUAGGAAUCUGCCUAUUAGUGGGGGACGACAUCUCGAAAGGGAUGCUAAUACCGCAUACGUCCUACGGGAGAAAGCAGGGGAUCACUUGUGACCUUGCGCUAAUAGAUGAGCCUAAGUCGGAUUAGCUAGUUGGUGGGGUAAAGGCCUACCAAGGCGACGAUCUGUAGCGGGUCUGAGAGGAUGAUCCGCCACACUGGGACUGAGACACGGCCCAGACUCCUACGGGAGGCAGCAGUGGGGAAUAUUGGACAAUGGGGGGAACCCUGAUCCAGCCAUGCCGCGUGUGUGAAGAAGGCCUUAUGGUAGUAAAGCACUUUAAGCGAGGAGGAGGCUCUUUUGGUUAAUACCCAAGAUGAGUGGACGUUACUCGCAGAAUAAGCACCGGCUAACUCUGUGCCAGCAGCCGCCGUAA